CGGCGUCUCUGCGCCAUCUUGCGUCAGAGCGAUUGUCGCGUGUGAGGGCGAGCGGGAGGCCCUUCCGGUCCGCAGCGCGGGAGCUCCUUGGCCAACACGGUACCGAGGGCAGUACGUGUAUGCAGGUUUUUCUAUUUCUAAGCUGAAUGUGAUCUCCUUCAAGGAGCAAGGAAAGGAAGCCUGGGUAGUAGAGAGUGAUGUCACACAAAGCCUGCACCCAGAUUGGGUAUCCCAAUGGGAGAAAAUGGAAAAAUUUAUAAACAAAGAUCCUGAGGACCCCAGCUUCCAAGAUGACUGGAAAUGUAAAGGCACAUUCAAGAGACAACAAAGAAAUAGGAAGGAAAUUCCAGUCAAGUCAUACUCACCCGUGAAGAAAUACCCACUUGGAGACAGCAAACAUCCCAUAACGUGCUUCAGAAAGUUCUAUCUGGAAGUAGGCCCUAUGUGUGUAUUGAAUUUACAAAAGGUUUUUGGCAGAAGAAAUCUCUUAAUCAUCAGAAAACUCAUACUAGUGAGGAAUAUUACAAAUGCAAGCAAUGUGGGAAGGACAUUCUGAUCUUCCUCAACAUCAAGGGAUUCAUACUGGGGAAAGACCCUGUGAAUGUAAAGAAUGUGGAAAGGGCUUUAGUUCUGUAUCACUCUUUACCCAACAACAGAGAAGUCAUGCUGGUGAGAAACUCUGUAAAUGUAGGGUUGUGGAAAAACCUUUAUUUGGCUCUCACAACUUAAUAUACAUCAUAGAACUCACAUUGGUGAAAAGACUUAUCAAUGUAUUGAAUGUAGAAAAGCUUUUAAAGGUCACUUAUCACUAAUUACUCAACAUCAAAGAAUUCAUGCUGGAGAAAAACCCUAUGAUGUAAGGAAUAUGGAAGGGCCUUUAGAGGUAUCACACGACUUAAGGAACAUUGAAGAAUCCAUACCAGUGAGAAGCCAUAUAAACGCAAUGAACAUGGAAAGGCCUUCAGUUGUCAUUCACAUCUUCCUCAACAUCAAAGAAAUCUUAUAAAUCUAAGGUUUGUGGGAAGGCCUUUAGACAGGGCUCACAGCUUAACCAUCAGCAGAGAAUUCAUACUGGUGAGAAACCACAUAAAUGUGAUGAACGUGGAAAAGACUUUGGUUGGAUUUCGCAAUUUAAUGUACAUAUUAGCAACCACAUUAGUGAGAACCUGUGUCAGUGUACUGAAUGUGGAAAAGCCUUUAGUCACUUAACAUUAGCUAUGCAACAUCAGAGAAUUCAUACUGGUGAGAAAUCCAAUGAAUGUAAGGCAUGUGGGAAAGCCUUUAUGAUUAUCUCAUACCUUAUCCAGCAUCAAAGAAUUCACACUGUUGAGAAAUCCUAUAAAUGCAGUGAAUGUGGAAAGGCCUUCAAUCAUCGUUCAUAUCUUCCUAAAUGUCAGAGAAUCCAUACUGGGAACUUGGACCACACCAGGUAAUCAAAGGAUGUGACUUAGGCUGGGCUCUGUAUCACAGUAUCAGCGUGACCUCCAGAGGGGCUGGAGACUGAGGAGAGCCACAUGAGGAACCCAUCAUGUCGACGUGACGGAGCCCAAUAAAGAAUGACACCAGGGGUCGGGGGCUUCCCUGGCAGGCGAUACUCUGUGCAUACUGUCACACAUGGCUGGGGAGGUGUUUAUGCUGUCCAUGACUCCAACACGGGAAUGGAAGCUCUGCAUCUAGAACCCUCCUGGACUCUGCCCCAUGCUGGCUGAUUGUAAUGUACAUCUUUUCACUGUAAUAAACCAUAACCACAAAUAUAAAAGUUUUUUGUGUGUGUGUACGAGGAAGAUUGGCCCUGAGCUAACAUCUGUGCUAAUCUUCCUCUAUUUUGUAUGUGGGAUGCCGCCAUAGCGUGGCUUGAUGAGCAGUGCUAGGUCCGUGCCCAGAAUCCAAACCUGCAAACCCCAGGCCACCAAAGCAGAGAGCAUGAACUUAACUACUAUGCUACCCAGCUGGCCCCAGUAUAAAAGUUUUUAGUAAGUUCUGUGAGUCCUUCUAGUGAGUUAUUGAACCUGAGGGUGAUCUUUG
ensembl:lncRNA